GGCUGUCCAUGGAGAAACACCUAUGAAUCUCUGCCCCUAAGAAAUGUUAUUAAUGUAGAAACACUGUUAAUGUGGGCUGAUCUUGACCAGGCACCCUCGCCUGAUUCCACCAGUAAGUGAGCUAGUCUCUCUUCUUGCCUAGACCUUCUGAUCUCAGUCCCUUGAGCCCACCAAUAUAGAAGGUCUCAUUCCAAGUUCUCAGAAUAAUGCUCUGAAGUCCCCCUCCAUUAUGGACACACACACAUGCACACACACACACACACACACACAUUAAGUUUGGGGUGAGGGGCAGACAUAUCUCUACAGUAAUUUCCACAAAACUGUUCUCACAAAACACUCUCCCACUUUAUACUCUGACCAGGUUUAUAUCCUUUAUAUAAUUGUGGGAGACUUACCUUUAUCAUUUCCUUUGGUUUAGAGUUAGGCAUAGGUGAUUCAGACACACUUUGCCAUCUCACAUCUCUUGUGCCUGGUCAACGUUUCAGUUUUAACAACUUUUUACAUAAGAAAUGUUAAUUCAUAAAUAAUUUGUAUUAACACUGGACUUCAACAGAAUCUAUUUUCAUUUAGGUGGGCAUGGUACAUUAUUCCAAUUUGAGAAACAUUUUCCUUCACUCACAUAAGAGAUAAAUUUUAUGGAGAUAAGUUUGUACCAUUAAACUCUAUCUGUAAACAGAGAAAAUUUCAAAGGGAAUUGGGCAGAGACUGACUUUAGGAAGGAGUGGUGACAGAAAGGGAAAGUAAGAGGAAGGAAAGGAAGUGUGAAAAUUAAUCUUUGGUUCAGGAAAUAAAAAUUACAAAGUAACUUCAUAAAACAUCUAAGAAAGCCUUCUAAAAUAAUUUUAUGAUUUCUGCAGUGAAGGGAGCCAUUUUCAGUUCUUCUAUCUUUGUACUGAGGUGUGAGGCUUCUUAUACCGGAGAACCUCUAGGAUCCUAAAGAAAAUCAUCACUAGGCUGUCAACAGACAAUGGGUUUAGUGUUGAAGUAAUUUUGGCACCAGUCACUUCAAAAGCUGGCUGACUAAGAGGCUGUGUAGGACCCUAGCAGAUGAAGCCAAUAAUAGAUUCUGUGGGAUACCGCAGAGAUCUCUCUCCCUCCUCCUUUCUGCAUCCCACCCCAAUCGCAGAAACUAGAAUGAUGGUGUUCAUAUAAGUACAGCCUAGCUAAGGAAUAAUACUAGUGUCCUGUGUCCUAAGUGUACCCUGGUCUUCUAGCCUGACAUGCAGUAUUAAAACGGCAUUUCCUUGUCUUAAUUUGCAUUAAUUAAUUAUUAUUGAGGUUGAUUUUUAAAUGUGUAAAAAUGAUUUUUAAAAUGUUUAUUGACCAUUUAUAUAUUUCUCAAUUGAUUUUGUGUCCUUUGUCCAUUUUUCUAUUGGAGUGUUCUUUUUAUUGAUUUGUAAAAACUCUUUAUAUAUUAUCACUGUCACAUUAUAAAUAACUCUUUAAUUCCUUAAAAAGAUAAAAAAAUAAAAAAUAAAAACGCCUACUUAAUAACUCCCUCAGGAUAGAAAGGACGUUUUACCCAGUAAUUCCAACAAAGGCACACACUGAGAUUGCAUUCUAUUUGGAUAAAGUCCCUGUCCCUGAAACCAUUGCUCUUGUCAGAAAAACAACUCUGUGAUUUCUGUACUCUUUCUUGUGGAGUUGCACUCCCCCCACCACAUCUUAGUAUUCUUAGUAUUGAACUACUGGCUAAGAUUGCACAGGGCUCUUUGAAGACAGCUGGAUUUUUUUUCUCUGCAUAGCUCCUUCUGCUCCAGUGCUCUCCUUCACAGAGAACAGCCUUUUAAGUCACCCUGAACUCUGAUCUUCAUCUUCAUCUCAGUGAGAACUGUGGGUGCCUUGCUGGGAGUCUCCUUUCCUGCUCCUUGGUCCAGAAUGAUAUCUAGCAGAAGCCUGUGUUUACCCCAGAGCCCACUGGAUUUGUUUCCUUUCCCUAAGGGAUCCCAGUACUAUAUUGCCUGUUGGCCAAUAUUGAAAAGCAUUGUUUCACAUAUUUUGUCAAGAUUUUAGUUACUUACAGCAAUAGGAAAAUCCAGUUACUCCAUUAUGUCCAGAAAUGUUAAGCACUAUGUUUUCUUCAAAUACAUAUAUAUCGUCUACUUUAUAUUAUUUAUAAAUGUUAAUUAAUUACAGAAAUGAAAAUUAAUGCACUUUCCUUACUUAAAAAGUGAAAACAUUACAAGUGAGUACAUAAUCAACUUUAAACGUCACUUCUACUUGCAUCACCAUCUCCUGUGUCCCCACUCUCAUUGUAAUUGGAUUUUAGAGAUAUUUUUAGCUUAUUCUGCAUCCUUUCUCUCUUUGUUUUUCAUGUAUCCCAUACGCAUAAAAUUCUGUCACAAAAUGUUUUUCUAUCAACUUUGUGAGAUAGCUUCCAAGAUUUGUUUUCAAAUUGAUAGUCAUUUAUCAUAAUAAAUUUUAUUUGCACAUUGAUAAAACUUCCAGCUUCAUCAUAUAUUGUAUUGCCAAAUAGACGUGGCUGAAUUUCUAGGCUCAAUACUCUGUAGUAUUAACAUAUUUGCCUAUUCUGUGGGUAUAUCCUGUUUCAAAAUUACCAUGGCUUUAUGAUGUAUUUGUUCUUGCUUCUUCUUCCUCCUCCUCCACAAAUGAAAAAAGAGGUUUUGAUUAUUCACAUAUAACAUAUUCAACUAUGUGGAGUUUAGAAUCAUUUUCUUAGUUUCCAUGAAAAAAAAUCUUGUUGAAAUUUUUAUUGUGAUUUCACUCAAUUUGUUUAUUAAUUAGGAAAGUUAACGACUUUAAAAUAUGGUAUCUUUCCAUGAUGAAUUCUAUAAGUCUUUAUUAAGUUGUGUGCCUUUUGAGAAGAUGUUUAGUAUUCCUCAUAAAGACUGCACACACUUUUCCUAUGUUCUUUGUAGCAAUAUUGUUACUAUGGAGCAGAUAUUUUAUUUCAUAACUAUUUAUUGUAAUUGUAUUUGAAAGUGUCAUCAUGCCCAUUUUUGACUAAAUUUUUUUAAAUAAACAUUAAAAUUCAUCAAUUGAUUGUCUUGGUUUUUCUAAGUAUAUGAACAUGUCAGCCAAUAUUGCAUUGUUAUCUCAUUUUCAGUUUUGAUUAUUAUUUCUUUUUACCAUUAUUUCAUUGGUUGACAAAGAAUUUCCAAAGAGACAACCCCUGGACCAAACUGCACUGGAAACUUGUAAGUUUGUUUGAUCCAAAACUUGUACUUAUCAUAGUGUUUUAAAAACAUAAUUAGACAUCAACAUAUUAAAAUCAUUAAAUUUCAUAUAAAAUAUGGAUGCUGAUUUCUCUUGAAAUCUGAGUUAAAUUUGGAAACACUCCCAACAAGGCAAGAAGAGACUAGAGCUACGUCAUGGCACAGCCUUUUGGGGGCAGGGUUUGCUUCUUUUCCAGAGGUUGAAAAUCUCUUAAAUGUUUUGCACAAUUUGGCUUUUAUCACUUGUUUUGUCUUUCUUGCCACAGUAGUUACAUGAGAUUAAGAACUCUGCAUUAUGACCAUCAGUGAAAUAUAUAAUAAUAGCAGUGUAAAAAGUGGCUUUGUCUUAUUGCUGAAUUUAACGGAAAUUAAUCCAUAAAUUUCCAAGUCAGUUAAUUUAAUUCAGUUAAUUUACAAGUAGGUUUCUGGAACAUAUCCUUUGACCAAGUUAAAAAAUUAAAUAAUUUCAUUUUACUUUUAGUUUGCUGCAUUUUAAUCAUAGUUAAAACUAAAUUUUAUCAAAUCCCAUUUUGGUGUCUUAGGAAAUAUCCUUUUUUAAAAACAAUAUAAUUUUAUUAACGGAAAGUCCUAGUAACAUAAAUCAGUGAACCAAAGCUUGUUUCAGAAAACAGUAUAUAACAAAUUCCCAGGCCUUUCUUGACAAAAUUCAUUUAAUGAGAAAUAAAGGCACCCUAUUUUAUGAGAACUAAUUUUAGUCAUUUAUAAAAACAAAGAUGCAAAGAAACUGACAAGUGACGCUAAAUUACAGGAUGAUAUACUCACAAAAUAAUCUCAUCAAAAUGAUACAAAACAUAAAACUAAAACUAGAAUUACACUCUUUCUUUGUUUGACAUUCAUGAAAUUAUUAACCCUCAUAUUUCACACAAAUACAAAAUAAAGAACCUCACUUCAAGGUCCUUCCCAGUAUUUUCUCUACAUGAUAUAAAGAUCAUCCGGGGCCGGGUCCAUGUGUGAGUGGUUCAUUUUGGGCCCUCCACUUAUGUGGCCCAGGAUUUUGCCAGUUCAGAUCCUUGGCACAGACCUGGCACCGCAAGCCAUGCUGAAGCAGCUCCCCACAUAGCAGGACCAGAAGUACCUACAACUACAAUAUACACGGCUAUUUACAGGGUGACUUUGGGGAGAAGAAGGAAAAAAGAAAAGAUUGGUAACAGAUGUUAGCUCAGGGCCAAACUUUAAAUAAAGAAUUUUUAAAAAAUCAUCCAAAAGUUUUUCCAAAGACACGAGUAAUCACAGUUUUAUGGAUUUUUUCUUAUAUGAUGAUAUGUGCAACAAAUAAAGAAAUAUAGAGUUAAAAGGAGUAUUUUACUGUAGAAUAUUUAAAAAGGGUAUUGUGAAGUUUCUUCCACAAUUUAAAAUUAAAGGGCUAAUAGAAGCUGGUUAGAAAAGCAUUCCACACCAUGUUGCCCAAGUCCUCUAUAGCACAGAAGUGAGAGUCCAUCUGUAUUCUGAAACAGUUGUGACUUUGGCUCAUUUUUAAGAUAUAAAAACAAACUUCAUUCUCUUUGGGGAUUUAGGAACACUAGCUACAUCAGCACUAUGGGAUCUAACUACUGUGUACAUUUCUGAAUCUGCUUCUUACCAUUCUCUACCUGGACCACUGUGUUCCAUUCACUCUGAUCUUUUACGAUUCCUUAAAAAUACCAUGGUACUUCCUGCAUUCAUUUUCUUUCUCUAGAAUAUUCAUCCCUGUAAUCCUCAUAUGGCUGUUUCCUUCUGAUCAUUCUUGUCAAUAAUUGGUGCUUAGCAUUAUUAAACAUAUUGAUUAAUAUAUUUCAUCACUUUUCCUAAGGACAUCUCAACAGAAUUCAAAAUCAGCUGAAAUUUUACUGCUAAUAGAAUCCUUCUCUGACCACCCAAUAUGAUGGAAGCUCCAUGAAAUAAUCAUAGUCUUCUCUUUCCAUUAACUCUUUUGUAAGGAUCACUCUCUGACUUUCGUUUUGUUUAUUUUUAGUUAGUAUUUAAGGUCUCUUUUUCUUCCCUAACCAUCUGAAUUUGGGUAUUUGGAAAACAAGACUCUUAAGUUCUAUAGUCACUCAACAAAUACUUUUUGAAAACUUAAUAGGUGCCAAGCAUAAACAAAACAAAAAUCCUUCUCACACAAAUGUAAAGUCUAGAGAGAGAUGGAAAGUAACAAAAAUCAUAUGAUAAUUAUACAAAAUAAUUAUACUUUUUAUCAUUGUUGCUAAUAAAAUUAAUACCCUGACACGGAGAAUAAUGGCAGGAGUGGAAGAAUCAUUGAAUAGCGUUAUGAUGGUAACUCUCUGAGGAAAUGACAAUCUCCCAAUAUAAGGCCAGAAGUUAGAGAGAAACAGCCACCUGAACAGGAUGAGGGCUUGUUUUCAGAGAGAGAGAAGCCAAAGCACUGAGGUGAGAAAACUCUUGCAUAGCUGUAAGGGCAAGUGAAAAAGCCCAGCAUGGCUAAUGCAUAGUGAGGGAAGAGGUAAGACCCUCAAGAUGUGGUUGGAGAGUUAGAGGUGUUAGAAAGAUCAAUUAGGGAAUUUUAGGGCAAGACAAUGUGUUUGUAAAGGCAAUGGGAAGCCAAGGAGGGAUAUAAAACAUUAGAGUAUAACAAUCCCUAAAUUUUAAAUACCCUAAGUCAUAAAUCAGAUUUACAUUUUUAAGAGGUGCCUCUGGCGACUAGUAGAGAAUGGACAGUUUUAUUUCUCACAUAUUUAUUUUUUAAUUUUUUAAAAAUUUUAUUUAUUUUGUGUUAUUUUUAAAUUGAGGUAUUUUUAAAAUUAUUUUUCUAUAACUAUAGGUGGUGACAGAUGUUAACCAGAUUAUUGUGGUGAUCAUUUCACAAUAUAUACAAAUAUCAAAUCAUUAUGUUUUAUAACUGAAAGUAAUACAAUUUUAUAUGAUGAUUAUCUCUCACACAUUUAUGAAAGAAUGGCUUGCCUCUAUGGAAAACAUGAUAUUCUCAACAUGGCAGUCACUUGCCAACCAAAGUCUCUUGUUUCACCCACAGUUUCCUCAUGGCAUUUUUUACCUCUGCCUUCCUCAGGCUGUAGAUCAUGGAUUUAACAUGGGGUUGAUGAUGGAAUCAGACAUGGUCAUUGCCUUUUCUAUGAGGUAAGUGGCCACUGGCCUCACAUACAAGGAAAUGUGUGGCACAAAGAACAAGAUGACCACUGUGCAAUGGGAGUCACAGAUGGAGAGAGCUUUAUGCUACCCUUUUGAGCCACAAGACUUCAGUGAGCAGGGGAUGAUCACAUAGGAGGAGAUGAGGGCAUGAAAGAUGGUCACACAUAUCACCCUACUGUUGAGGAUGACUAAGAGACCCAGGAAGUCAGUGUCCAUGAAGGCCAGUUUCAGCAAUGGAAACAAAUCACAUUUAAAGUGAUCAGUGACAUUGGGGCCACAGAAAGUUGUUUGAUUUAUGAACAGAAGCUAUAUUACUGCAUAGAUAAAUCCUCCCAGCCAGGACCCUCACCACUAGCAGGCAGCACAUCUGAGGGCUAAUGAUGGUGAAGUAGUGCAGGGGCCUACAGAUGGCUACAUAGUGGUCACAGGCCAUCACAAUAAGUAAAAUGAGCCCCACACCACCAAAGCAAUGAUCCUUGAGGGAGAUGUGGUAGUGCUCUCAGAGAAGGAAUCCACAUAAUCUUGGGAGUGAUGACAGAAAAUAUGUGUCAUCCAAAAUUGACAAAGAAAUAAGGGAAAAAAUACAUAGGUGAUCUCAAACUCUGACUUGUGAUCAUAGUGAUCAUAACGAGUAGGUUUCUGAAAACUGUGGACACAUAUAUAUUAGAAACACACCAGAGAGUAUUUUAUGCAGCUCUGGGUUCUCUGAAAGACCCAAAAGAAUGAAUUUUAUCAUGUUGUUUUUAUUUCCCAUUUAACAGGUGCUGACAUCAGCUCCAGGUGAAAGUUGGAAAAUCUAAAAAAGCAACAUAAGAUUUAUAAUUACUGAUUAUUUGGCUUCAUGUAGUUCUUGGAGUUCUGGAAGAUUAUUGUUUGUUUUUAUUCAUUUAUUCACCAUUCAAACAUUUGGCUUUUAAGAACAUGCUAAAUAUAGUGGUUAAGUGGUGUCAAGAUGGCAGUAUAAGAGACUCUGCACUCACCUCCUUCCACAGACACAAUAAAUCUACAACUACUCUUGGAACAACUACCCUUGAGGAAGAACUGAAAAUUAGAUACAAAGAACCCCUGCAACAAGGGGCAGUUCUGACUUGCCCUUAAUGGAAGUGAUGGAAGAGCAUGAAAUUCCUUUCUGGAGAGAAAAAAAGCCACUUCACAAGCUUCAGAGCUUCACAGCCGGCCAGGAGAAAUUCUAAGUUAUGCAGCCUUCUCUGCAGGGUUGGGGAAUCUGAGCAGGUGGGUGUUACCACUAUAAGUCUCCUUUGGACUCAGCACAACUGAGAAGAAUCUCAUAAUAUCUGACUUUUCUGGCUACUAACAACAAUGUGGAAUACCAUCAGAAAAGCUAUCAGACAUAGUGGAGAAAAGUUGGCUCUUAAAAGGCCCAUGCACAAAUUCACACGUUUCAGAAAGCAACUUAAAAUCACCCGAAAUAAAGGUGCACACUCCUUUGGUGAAAAGAGACUCGUGUGAUAGGUUCUGUGUGCAUUUUGGUGAGAGAUGCGAGCUCUCCAGGGACUGAGAUAUUGGCAGCACCCAUUAUUAUGAGCUAAUACAGGUGUGUGGACACAGACACUGGCAGAAACCAUUGGAGUUCUUUCCCUUGCCUGUUAGCCUGGGGUCUGCCCCACCCACUACAGUAACAAUUUAAACAGCUCAGGGCCACAAGCCUCCCUAAGGACUGGUCCCAACCAACAGCAAGCCCUCAGGCAACUUGUAUGACUGCAUAGAUGGGGUGCCUUCAUCCUCUUCAGUCAGAUAAUUGGGCCCAUCUGUGUGGGACAAGGCAUGCGAAAAGGAGCAAGUAGAGAAUAUGGGGCAUUGAAUGAGUGUGUGGGGCCUCCACUGUGGGGUGGCUGGGUCUGUUUCAGGGUGUCAGGGUUUGUGCAUGAACCAAGACUGUGUUGAGUGUGUGUGGCACUGUGGGCAGUGGGGCUUGUCAGCUGCAGCAGACUUAUGUUUCUCAAACAGCCACAUCCACAUAGGUGAAUGGUCCUACUUUCCAAAGCUGGAAAAUAUUGGAUGCUCCCAUGCCUGGGUCCAGCCCUACUCAACUGCAAUCCUGGGAGAGCUAACAACAGCCUUACAGGCUGGAGGCCUACAGCAAUUGGAGGCCCCUGACCUAGCAAGCAGCCACAUUGUGGGCCUACUCAACAGAAAAACUGUGACAGGACUGUGCUAUUAUAGUUUACAGCCAAAUGUGCUGGGGCUCCCCAUUCUUAUUAAAGUGACUGAAGUGUCCAUAGCAUCCAGAUGCAGAUGAGCAUUUCAAGUAGUAGGCCAGGGGGACAGCUUAGCCUCCUUGGGCAACUACAGAAAGAGGAACUCUGCCACAACAUAAGGACACACAUAUCAAACACAGAGGUCACUCCUGGAACAUUUGGAACUGGUGAUGAUAGGGAAGCACAUUGCUGGGUCUCAUAAGGCAUUGCUUAUAUAAGGCCACCUCUCCAAGACAAGGAGACAUGGCUGAACUACCUAAUACAUAGAUAUAAGGAGAAAGAAUCAGAGAAAAUGAGGAGGGAAAGGAAUACAUUCUAAGUAAGGCAACAGGACAAAACUCCAGAUAAAGACCUAAAGGAAACAGCAAUAAACAAACUACCUGACAAAGAGUUUAAACAAAAAGUCAUAAGCAUGCUCACUGAUGUUGGGAGAAGAAUGGAUGACCUUAGUUAGAACUUCAAGAAAGAAUUGGAAAAUGUAAAAAAGAACAAUCAGAAAUGAGGAAUACAAUAUUAGAAGUGAAAAGUUCACUAGAGGGACUCAAUAGUAGAGUAGAUGAUACAGAAGAACAGAUCAGCGAGCUGGAUGAAAGACUAGAGGAAAUCACCCAAGCUGAGCAGACAAUAGAAAAAAAGAUUUAAAAAGAAGGAGGGUAGUCUAAGGGAACUCUGGGACAAUAUGAAGCACACUAACAUUUGUAUUGUAGGUGUCUCAGAAGGAGAAAAGAGAGGCAAAUGGGCAGAGAAUCUAUUUGAAGAAAUAAUACCUGGAAAUUUUCCUAACCCAAGGAAGGAAACAGACAUCCAAGUACAGGAAGCACAGAGAGCACCAAACAAGAUAAACAAAAAGAUGCUCACACCAAGACAAGUUAUAAUUAAAAUGUCAAGAAGUAAAAAGAGACAGAAUCCCAAAAGUGACAAGAGAAAGGCAACAAUUUACAUUCAAAGGAAAUCCCAUAAGGCUAUCAGAUGACUUCUCAUCAGAAACCUUACAGGUUAGAAGGGAGUGGGACAAGAUAUUUAAAGUGAUAAAAGGAAAAGAGCCUACAGAAAAGAAUAUACCUAGCAAUGUUGUCAUUCAGAAUGGAAGGAGAGAUAAAGAGUUUCCAAGACAAACAAAAAUUAAACAAGUUUUUAUCCAAGAAACUAGUCUUACAAGAAAUGGUAAAGGGACUUCCUUAAGUGGGAAAGAGAAGAUCACAAAUAGGAAUAAGAAAAUUAUCCAAAAAAGGCAAUAAGUUCAUGGUAAAGGCAAAAAUACAGUAAAGGUAGCAGAUAUAGCACAUAUGAAGAUAUAUAAAGGUCAAAAGACAAAAAUACUAAAAUUACCUAUUUCCAUGAUAAGAGGGUAAUGGAUACACACACACACACAAAAGAGGUUAGAUAUGAUAACAAAAACAUAAAAUGUGGGAGGAGAGGAGCAAAAGAGUAGAGCUUUCAGGAAGAGGUCAAACUAAAGAAAUCAUCAACUUAAUAUAGAAUGCUAUAUAGGGAGGUAGUUAUAUAUGAACCUCAUGGUAAUCACAAACCAGAAACCUAAAAUUAAUACACAAAAAUUAAGAGAAGGAAUGCAAACAUAAUAGAAAAGGUAGCCAUCAAACCACAAGUGAAGAGAGCAGGAGAAGGAGAAAGGAACAGAAAGGAACUACUUAAACAUAGAGAAAAAAGUAACAAAAUAGCAAUAUGUACAUUUAUGAAUAGCUACUUUAAAUGUCAAUGGACUAAAUGCUUCAAUCAAAAGGCAUAGAGUGGCCCAUUGGAUAAAAAAACAAGACCCAUGUAUAUACUGCAUACAGGAGACACACUUCAUACCUAAAGACACUCAUAAACCGAAAGUGAAGCAAUGGGAAAAGAUGCUCCAUGCAAAUGGAGAUGAAAAGAAAGCUGGGGUAAACAAUAGUUAUAUUAGACAAAAUAGACUUUAAAACAAAAACUCUAACAAGAGACAAAGAAGGGCACUACAUAAUAAUAAAGAGAGCAACCCAACAAGAAGAUAUAGUACUUGUAAAUAUCUAUGCACUCAACAUAGAAGCACCUAAAUAUGUAAAGAAAUUAGUAACAGAUAUAAAAGGAGAAAUAUUAACCCAAUAAGAUUAGGGGACUUUAACACUCCACUUACACCAAUGGAUAAAUCAUCCAAACAAAGGAUCAAUAAGGUAACAUUGGCCUUAAAUGAUACAUUAGAUCAAAUGUACUUAGUGGAUAUAUACAGAACAUUCCAACCAAAACCACAGAAUAUACAUCCCUUUCAAUCUCCAGGACCGAUCACAUGUUAGACCACAGAACAAGUCUCAAUAUAUUUGAGAAGACUGAAAUAAUACCAACCAUCUUUUCUUACAACAAAGAUACAAAACUAGAAAUCAACAGGAAGAAAAUAGGAAAAACCACAAAUAUGUUGAGAUUAAACAAAAUGCUGCUCAACAAUGACUGGGUCAAUUAAGAAAUUAAAGGGGGACUCAAAAAUACCUGGAGACAAAUGAAAAUGAUAAUAAAUCAUGCCAAAAUUUUGGGAAUACAGUAAGAGCAGUUCUUAUG
ensembl:lncRNA